rnacentral:rRNA from 1 species
GCGGCAGGCCUAACACAUGCAAGUCGAGCGGUAGAGAGAAGCUUGCUUCUCUUGAGGGCGGCGGACGGGUGAGUAAUGCCUAGGAAUCUGCCUGGUAGUGGGGGAUAACGUUCGGAAACGGACGCUAAUACCGCAUACGUCCUACGGGAGAAAGCAGGGGACCUUCGGGCCUUGCGCUAUCAGAUGAGCCUAGGUCGGAUUAGCUAGUUGGUGAGGUAAUGGCUCACCAAGGCGACGAUCCGUAACUGGUCUGAGAGGAUGAUCAGUCACACUGGAACUGAGACACGGUCCAGACUCCUACGGGAGGCAGCAGUGGGGAAUAUUGGACAAUGGGCGAAAGCCUGAUCCAGCCAUGCCGCGUGUGUGAAGAAGGUCUUCGGAUUGUAAAGCACUUUAAGUUGGGAGGAAGGGUUGUAGAUUAAUACUCUGCAAUUUUGACGUUACCGACAGAAUAAGCACCGGCUAACUCUGUGCCAGCAGCCGCGGUAAUACAGAGGGUGCAAGCGUUAAUCGGAAUUACUGGGCGUAAAGCGCGCGUAGGUGGUUUGUUAAGUUGGAUAUGAAAUCCCCGGGCUCAACCUGGGAACUGCAUUCAAAACUGACUGACUAGAGUAUGGUAGAGGGUGGUGGAAUUUCCUGUGUAGCGGUGAAAUGCGUAGAUAUAGGAAGGAACACCAGUGGCGAAGGCGACCACCUGGACUAAUACUGACACUGAGGUGCGAAAGC